UACGGAGGGUGCAAACGUUGCUCGGAAUCAUUGGGCGUAAAGCGCACGUAGGCGGUCUGUUAAGUCGGAUGUGAAAGCCCCGGGCUCAACCCGGGAAGUGCAUUCGAAACUGGCAGGCUUGAAUAUGGAAGAGGGUCGCGGAAUUCCCGGUGUAGAGGUGAAAUCGUAGAUAUCGGGAGGAACACCAGUGGCGAAGGCGGCGACCUGGGCCAAUAUGACGCUGAGGUGCGAAAGCGUGGGGAGCAAACAGG
rnacentral:rRNA from 1 species